rnacentral:rRNA from 1 species
AGCAGUAGCCGCGGUAAUACGAAGGGUGCAAGCGUUACUCGGAAUUACUGGGCGUAAAGCGUGCGUAGGUGGUGGUUUAAGUCCGUUGUGAAAGCCCUGGGCUCAACCUGGGAAUUGCAGUGGAUACUGGGUCACUAGAGUGUGGUAGAGGAUAGUGGAAUUUCCGGUGUAGCAGUGAAAUGCGUAGAGAUCGGAAGGAACAUCUGUGGCGAAGGCGACUAUCUGGGCCAACACUGACACUGAGGCACGAAAGCGUGGGGAGCAAACAGGAUUAGAUACCCGCGUAGUCCCUGUCUCUUAUAC